rnacentral:rRNA from 1 species
AAACCGUGUGCCUACAACCGCUCAGAGCCCCUUAUGAGGGUGAUGAGGUGCUUUUUGUAGAACGAGCCAACGAGUUACGGUAUGUAGCAAGGUUAAGUACUUAAGGUACGGAGCCGAAGGGAAACCGAGUCUGAAUAGGGCGACUAGUUGCAUGCCGUAGACCCGAAACCGGGUGACCUAUCCAUGGCCAGGUUGAAGCGAGGGUAAAACCUCGUGGAGGACCGAACCACGUUGCUGUUGAAAAAGCAUGGGAUGAGCUGUGGAUAGCGGAGAAAUUCCAAUCGAACCCGGAGAUAGCUGGUUCUCUCCGAAAUAGCUUUAGGGCUAGCGUCGAGUAUGAGUAGUGGAGGUAGAGCACUGAAUGGGCUAGGGGGCAUAGCGCUUACCGAACCUUAUCAAACUCCGAAUGCCACAUACUUUGAGCUCGGCAGUCAGACUACGAAUGAUAAGAUCCGUGGUCAAAAGGGAAACAGCCCAGAUCGUCAGCUAAGGUCCCAAAGUGUAAGUUAAGUGGGAAAGGAUGUGAGAUUUCUAAGACAACUAGGAUGUUGGCUUAGAAGCAGCCAUUCAUUAAAAGAGUGCGUAAUAGCUCACUAGUCGAGAGAUCUUGCGCCGAAAAUGUAACGGGGCUAAACUUACCA